UACGUAGGGUGCAAGCGUUAAUCGGAAUUACUGGGCGUAAAGCGUGCGCAGGCGGUUGUGCAAGACAGAUGUGAAAUCCCCGGGCUUAACCUGGGAAUGGCAUUUGUGACUGCACGGCUAGAGUGUGUCAGAGGGGGGUAGAAUUCCACGUGUAGCAGUGAAAUGCGUAGAGAUGUGGAGGAAUACCGAUGGCGAAGGCAGCCCCCUGGGCCAAUACUGACGCUCAUGCACGAAAGCGUGGGGAGCAAACAGG
rnacentral:rRNA from 1 species